rnacentral:rRNA from 1 species
UACGAAGGGGGCUAGCGUUGUUCGGAAUCACUGGGCGUAAAGGGCGCGCAGGCGGCCAUUCAAGUCAGAUGUGAAAGCCCCGGGCUCAACCUGGGAGGUGCAUUUGGGACUGGAUGCGUUGAGGCCGGGAGGGGGUAGCGGAAUUCCCAGUGUAGCGGUGAAAUGCGUAGAUAUUGGGAGGAACACCAGUGGCGAAGGCGGCUACCUGGACCGGUUCUGACGCUGAGGCGCGAAAGCGUGGGUAGCAAACAGG